rnacentral:rRNA from 1 species
GGUUAAGCGACUAAGCGUACACGGUGGAUGCCCUGGCAGUCAGAGGCGAUGAAGGACGUGCUAAUCUGCGAUAAGCGUCGGUAAGGUGAUAUGAACCGUUAUAACCGGCGAUUUCCGAAUGGGGAAACCCAGUGUGAUUCGUCACACUAUCAUUAACUGAAUCCAUAGGUUAAUGAGGCGAACCGGGGGAACUGAAACAUCUAAGUACCCCGAGGAAAAG